rnacentral:tRNA from 1 species
GCUGUGACUCAGUGGUAGAGCACUUGCCUAGCAUGUGUGAGGCCCUGGGUUCCAUUCUCAGCACUGCA